AGUGAACGCUGGCGGUAGGCCUAACACAUGCAAGUCGAACGGCAGCACAGUAAGAGCUUGCUCUUACGGGUGGCGAGUGGCGGACGGGUGAGGAAUACAUCGGAAUCUACUUUUUCGUGGGGGAUAAUGUAGGGAAACUUACGCUAAUACCGCAUACGACCUACGGGUGAAAGCAGGGGAUCUUCGGACCUUGCGCGAUUGAAUGAGCCGAUGUCGGAUUAGCUAGUUGGCGGGGUAAAGGCCCACCAAGGCGACGAUCCGUAGCUGGUCUGAGAGGAUGAUCAGCCACACUGGAAAUGAGACACGGUCCAGACUCCUACGGGAGGCGGCAGUGGGGAAUAUUGGACAACGGGCGCAAGCCUGAUCCAGCCAUACCGCGUGGGUGAAGAAGGCCUUCGGGUUGUAAAGCCCUUUUGAUGGGAAAGAAAAGCAGCAGGUUAAUACCCCGCUGUUCUGACGGUACCCAAAGAAUAAGCACCGGCUAACUUCGUG
rnacentral:rRNA from 1 species